UAAUACAUGCAAGUCGAACGCGAAAGUACCUUCGGGUGCGAGUAGAGUGGCGAAAGGGCGAGGAAUACGUUUCUAACGUACCCACAGGUGAGGGAUAGCAUCGGGAAGCUGGUGGUAAUACCUCAUAAUCCUGGUUGAUCGGAUGUUCAACCAGGCAAAAGCUCCGGCGCCUCGGGAGCGGCGAUCGUCCUAUCAGGUUGUUGGUGAGGUAACGGCUCACCAAGCCGAAGACGGGUAGCGGGUGUGAGAGCAUGACCCGCCGCAUCGGGACUGAGACACUGCCCGGACUCCUACGGGAGGCUGCAGCGACGAAUCUUCCGCAAUGGGCGCAAGCCUGACGGAGCAAUGCCGCGUGCAGGAUGAAGCAGCUUCGCUGUGUAAACUUGCUGUCAGGUUCUAGAAUCAAUGAUCAGAACCAGAGGAAGGGCCGGCUAAACUCGUGCCAGCAGCCGCGGUAAUACGAGUGGCCCGAGCGUUAAUCGGAAUCACUGGGCUUAAAGGGUGCGCAGGCGGAUCGGAAGGCAUCUCGUGAAAGCCCCCGGCUCAACCGGGGAACUGCGGGGUGAACCGCCGAUCUUGAGACAGGUAGGGGUCAGUGGAACCAUCGGUGGAGCGGUGAAAUGCGUAGAGAUCGAUGGGAACGCCAAUGGCGAAGGCAGCUGACUGGGCCUGUUCUGACGCUCAGGCACGAAAGCGUGGGGAGCAAACAGGAUUAGAUACCCUGGUAGUCCACGCCGUAAACGAUGUGCACUAGAUCGCAGGGGCUCUGACGCCAGCUUGGACGAAGCGAAAGUGUUAAGUGCGCCGCCUGGGGAGUACGGCCGCAAGGCUAAAACUCAAAGGAAUUGACGGGGGCUCACACAAGCGGUGGAGCAUGUGGCUUAAUUCGAGGCAACGCGAAGAACCUUAUCCUGGGUUUGACAUGUACGGAUUAACUCCGAGAAACCGGAGCGACGCUCUUUUGGUGAAACGUGCACAGGUGCUGCAUGGCUGUCGUCAGCUCGUGCUGUGAAGUGUCGGGUUAAGUCCCUUAACGAGCGAAACCCCUGUCGUUAGUUGCUAACACGUAAUGGUGAGGACUCUAGCGAGACUGCCGGUGUCAAACCGGAGGAAGGUGGGGAUGACGUCAAGUCCUCAUGGCCUUUAUGCCCAGGGCUGCACACGUGCUACAAUGCGGCGUACAAAGCGAAGCGAGACCGUAAGGUGGAGCAAAUCGCAAAAAACGCCGCCCAGUUCGGAUUGUGGUCUGCAACUCGACCACAUGAAGUUGGAAUCGCUAGUAAUCGCGUAUCAGCUACGACGCGGUGAAUACGUUCCUGAGCCUUGUACACACCGCCCGUCAAGUCAUGGGAGCCGGUAGUACCCGAAGCCGCCCUAAUUCAGGGGUGUCGACGGUCAACUCGGUAACUGGGACUAAGUCGUAACAAGGUAAC
rnacentral:rRNA from 1 species